GUACCAUUGUUGAGAGUCGUGGUUCCGGCGUGUUACGAGAGUCAUGCUCUUAGCUUAGUCAUGUUAAUGGAAUCCUUAAGUGUCGGACAAAGACGUUGUGAGCAUCGGAGGUGUAGUCAAAAGUGACUCAAGUGUCAAACAAAUAGUGUACUUUGCUAGAGGGCUUUAAAGGAGUCGAGGAAGGCUCUAUAGUGUACUUUGUUCGAAGGGAAGAUUGUUGGGAGAGGAGUCCUACCUCAGCUAAUUAAAGAGUUAAUUAUGGGUUUAAGUAAAAAAUACAUCUCCAUUGGUACGAGAGCUUAUAUUCAACGUACUAUUGCGGAGAGUCGUAACAUAAGAGAAAGAGAUCCAAUCCAAGACAAUGAGAUAAAAGCGAGUGUUUUACACAUAGAAGACAAAGGAUAGAACAAUCCAUACAACUUUUUCUCACCCAA